rnacentral:rRNA from 1 species
GACGAACGCUGGCGGCGUGCUUAACACAUGCAAGUCGAACGGAAAGGCCCUGCUUGCAGGGUACUCGAGUGGCGAACGGGUGAGUAACACGUGGGUGAUCUGCCCUGCACUUCGGGAUAAGCCUGGGAAACUGGGUCUAAUACCGGAUAGGAGCCAUUUUUAGUGUGAUGGUUGGAAAGUUUUUUUCGGUGUAGGAUGAGCUCGCGGCCUAUCAGCUUGUUGGUGGGGUAAUGGCCUACCAAGGCGGCGACGGGUAGCCGGCCUGAGAGGGUGGACGGCCACAUUGGGACUGAGAUACGGCCCAGACUCCUACGGGAGGCAGCAGUGGGGAAUAUUGCACAAUGGGCGCAAGCCUGAUGCAGCGACGCCGCGUGGGGGAUGACGGCCUUCGGGUUGUAAACUCCUUUCGCUAGGGACGAAGCUUUUUGUGACGGUACCUAGAUAAGAAGCACCGGCUAACUACG